GGAGGGUUGGCCGAGCGGUAAGGCAGCGUCCUGCUAAGGCGUCGUCGGGGUCACCCGCGUGAGUUCGAUUCUCACACCCUCCG
rnacentral:tRNA from 1 species